GAUGAACGCUAGCUACAGGCUUAACACAUGCAAGUCGAGGGGCAGCAUGAUUGAAGCUUGCUUCAAUUGAUGGCGACCGGCGCACGGGUGAGUAACACGUAUCCAACCUUCCGUACACUCAGGGAUAGCCUUUCGAAAGAAAGAUUAAUACCUGAUGGUAUCUUAAGCACACAUGUAAUUAAGAUUAAAGAUUUAUCGGUGUACGAUGGGGAUGCGUUCCAUUAGGUAGUAGGCGGGGUAACGGCCCACCUAGCCUACGAUGGAUAGGGGUUCUGAGAGGAAGGUCCCCCACAUUGGUACUGAGACACGGACCAAACUCCUACGGGAGGCAGCAGUGAGGAAUAUUGGUCAAUGGCCGAGAGGCUGAACCAGCCAAGUCGCGUGAAGGAAGACUGCCCUACGGGUUGUAAACUCCUUUUACCUGGGAAUUAACGGGCGCUACGCGUAGCGCUAGUGCAUGUACCGGGAGAAUAAGCAUCGGCUAAAUUCCGUAGCCAGCAGCCGACGG
rnacentral:rRNA from 1 species